UCAGUUCGGACUGGAGUCUGCAACCCGACUCCACGAAGCUGGAUUCGCUAGUAAUCGCGCAUCAGCCACGGCGCGGUGAAUACGUUCCCGGGCCUUGUACACACCGCCCGUCAAGCCAUGGGAGCCGGGGGGUACCUGAAGUGCGUAACCGCGAGGAGCGCCCUAGGGUAAAACUGGUGACUGGGGCUAAGUCGUAACAAGGUAAC
rnacentral:rRNA from 1 species